UUGAUUUUCUGACACCAUUGUUCUUCUUCAUUUCUUUUUCUUUAGCCAUUAUUCUUCCUUUUCUUCUUCUUUUUAAACCAUUUUCUUCUUCAUUUUCUUUUGUCUUCCCUUCUAAUUUCUUCUUCAUUUCUUCCAGAAAACUUCUCUGUCGGUAGAAAUGGCUCUGCUUCCGCUGUUACUGUGGCGGAAGAAGUUAAGGUUUCCAAAAGUUUUGUUGACCCUAGAUGGGUUGCUGGGACAUGGGACUUGAUGCAGUUUAGGAAAAAUGGUACCACCGAUUGGGAUGUUGUUAUUGAUACUGAGUCGAGGAGGAGAAAAUGGCUCGAGAAUAACCCAGAAUCAUCCAGCAAUAACAGUCUUGUAGUGUUUCACGCCUCUAUCGUGCCUUGGUGGGCGUGGAUAAAAAGGUCGCACAUCAAUUAUAGGAUUCUUUAUGACAUAUUUGGUCGAUAGCUUGACAGGAGUGGGUCAUGUUGAUCAAUUGAACAACUUCUUUUGCAAAACUCUUCUGUUUGUAGCAGUGGGAGGAGUACUUCUCAUCCGAAAGAAUGAGGAUGUUGAUACUUUUAAGAAGCUAUUGGAGGAGACUAUAUUUUAUGACAAGCAAUGGCAAGCAACUUGGCAGAAUGAGAACUCAAGCAAUUCCAACAAAUGAUUAGUGGGAUUGUUGUUAUGUAAUCUCUUAAUAUAGUGUGCUCUAUUAUCAAUCUUGCUAGUGCAGAAAAAA